rnacentral:rRNA from 2 species
CUGGGAUAACUUCGGGAAACCGAAGCUAAUACCGGAUAGGAUCUUCUCCUUCAUGGGAGAUGAUUGAAAGAUGGUUUCGGCUAUCACUUACAGAUGGGCCCGCGGUGCAUUAGCUAGUUGGUGAGGUAACGGCUCACCAAGGCAACGAUGCAUAGCCGACCUGAGAGGGUGAUCGGCCACACUGGGACUGAGACACGGCCCAGACUCCUACGGGAGGCAGCAGUAGGGAAUCUUCCGCAAUGGACGAAAGUCUGACGGAGCAACGCCGCGUGAGUGAUGAAGGCUUUCGGGUCGUAAAACUCUGUUGUUAGGGAAGAACAAGUACGAGAGUAACUGCUCGUACCUUGACGGUACCUAACCAGAAAGCCACGGCUAACUACGUGCCAGCAGCCGCGGUAAUACGUAGGUGGCAAGCGUUAUCCGGAAUUAUUGGGCGUAAAGCGCGCGCAGGCGGUUUCUUAAGUCUGAUGUGAAAGCCCACGGCUCAACCGUGGAGGGUC